AGCUCUAACUAAUUAAUCUUGCCGGAGUCGUGUAUCUUCGCCGUGAAGGACGGACGUAGAAUCUCUGUGUGGUGAAUCUCCGGGACGUAAUAUAGUGGUUUUGAGCUGUAGUCGACCAAUUCAUCCACUUAGCCAUGGGGGUCGAUCCAUUCAAACUACGGAGACGUCGGAAACGGAGAACGAAAUGUUUGAAAUACAAA